GACGAACGCUGGCGGCGUGCUUAACACAUGCAAGUCGAACGAAGUGGCGAACGGGUGAGUAACGCGUAAUCAACCUGCCCUUCAGAGGGGGACAACAGUUGGAAACGACUGCUAAUACCGCAUACUGAAGGAGGGGAUUGCGUCUGAUUAGCUAGUGGGGGGGGUAACGGCCCACCAAGGCGAUGAUCAGUGGCCGGGCUGAGAGGAUGGACGGCAAACUUGGGAAUGAGGAACAGCCCAGACUCCUUCGGGAGGAAGCAGUAGGGAAUCUUCCGCAAUGGAGGAAAGUCUGACGGAGCAACGCCGCGUGAGUGAUAACGGCCUUCGGGUUGUAAAGCUCAGUUAAUCGGGACGCGGUACCGGCAUAAAAAGCCACGGCUAACUACGUGCCAGCAGCCGCGGUAAUUC
rnacentral:rRNA from 1 species